AGUCUUGGGCUCAAGUUCAUAAAAAUCACAUCAGCGUUCAGAAGCAGCUUGGAAGCCAUGUCGUCCGGUGCCUUGCCGACUUUUGAGGGCAUUCUGUUCCCCUGCAAGCUCAUCCUUGACUCCCAAUAACUAAAACUGCUCUCAGGAGACUCCUGGUUUAAAUUCUACUAAAGCGAACUUCCUCUCUAGACCCUCCAAAGCGCACGCAAGCACGUGGACAGCUCCUUCCUCAAAGUACAAGCCACCUGGGUCUGUCCUGAAAUUUCACCCUUGGACUGAGAACUAAGCAAACACCACCCACGGCAGAGCCCAGUGAAGCAUUUCCCCUAGAAAUAACCACUUAACCCCAGAAGGGGGCAGCAGCUUCUCCAUGGAACGAGAAGCCGGAGGAGGCUUGGCUCCUGCAGGCAGAGUCUCUGGGCGCCACCAAGCGUUGGAAGGAAGAAUGCAAGUGAACUCAGUUACAGAGAGAAACAAGACUGAGCUUUACUUCCCCCAGCACCUUCCUUCCCUUAACUGUCGUCCGCCAGAGCACAAAGCGCGCGCGCGCGCGUGUGUGUGUGUGUGUGUGUGUGUGUGUGUGUGUGUGUCCACACACUGUGCAGGCAACUGUGCUUUUCCAAACCACUCCUCUUUGAAUUCUACCAGGAUGAAACAGGAGCGUUUUGGUUUUCGUUGGGAUUUCAUGUUUCUCGUCAUCCCUCAAGCUUACAAUGCUAUCCCUUCCCAUCAUCCCCGGAGCCCCUUGGUUAUCCUUGUGCCACACAUACCAACAAAGGCACUAGGUCAAAAAGGAGGACGAGGGCCUGUGGUGCCCGCCUCUCACACUCGCCACCUGCUAACGCAUGUAUGCUUACUCUUCCCUUGAUGGUCCCUGGCUACUUGGCAGUCUAGUCGCUGUCCAAGAAAAAGACAGGUGCAUCCCUGGUCCAAAGAAGGUAGUGAGAAUUAGGUCAGGGUGAGAGCUAGCAUGUUCCAUAGACAGGUCUAAUGGAGAACUAGGUAACUUGUGAAGUUCUGCUUUUGAAUAGCACCCAGGCCUUGGGGCCCUCUAUGUAUUAGUAAGGUUGCUGUUUUUUCUAGUCUAUGGCUAGAAGGAAGCAAAUAAACCUGAAAUUCUACUAUCACAGACCAGCAUGGAAACACACGCCUUUAAUCUCAGCACUUGGGAGGCAGAGACAGAUAGUUCUAGGCCAGCCUUAUCUAUAUAUUGAUGUCCAGGCUAGUCAGGGCUAUGUAGUGAAACCGUCUCCAAACACAAUAUACUUCACAGUUAUGGAUUUAUUUAAUGCCCUCCUCUUUUAACGUCAUAUAAAUCCAAAGGAUUUAUAUGUGAUCCCCGAAGGAUCACAGGCUGGGCUGGGGCUCAUCGACAGAGCUUUUGCCUAACACAUGCAAAACUCUGGGUUCUAGACCUAGCAUCAAGCCAAAAUUUAAAAAGGAUCAAAUAAGAUAACAUGUGGAGUAGAGAGAGAGUUAUUUUGAAUUUACAAAAAAAAAAAAAAAAGGAACAAAGAAAGCAGAUUGGCAAUUGAUAUCCUAUGAAAUUAUAAAAUAUACAUUUCUAAACGUUCUUCAGUAGUUUUAACCACUGCUUUACAGGGCUCUAUGAGGCUGGAGUUCAAUGGGAAAGAGUGCGGCUAUAUAAACAAGACGACCUGAGUUUGAAUCUCCAGGACCUAUAGAAAACCUGAGCCUAUAAAUGCCUAUACCUCCCCAGAGAAGACAGACAGACAGAUUCUGGGGGCUCACUGGCCAGCUAGCCUAGGCAAAAUGCCAAGUUUCAGGUUAAGUGUGAAACUAUCUCAAAAAAUAAGGUACAACCACUCUGGAAAUCAGUCUGGAGGUUCCUCAGAAAAUUGGACAUUACACUACCUGAGGACCCAGCUAUACCUCUCCUGGGCAUAUACCCAAAAGAUGCUCCAACAUAUAACAAGGACACAUGCUCCACUAUGUUCAUAGCAGCCUUAUUUAUAAUAGCCAGAAGCUGGAAAGAACCCAGAUGUCACUCAGCAGAGGAAUGGAUACAGAAAAUGUGGUACAUCUACACAAUGGAAUAUUACUCAGCUAUCAAAAACAAUGACUUCAUGAAAUUCAUAGGCAAAUGGAUGGAACUAGAAAAUAUCCUGAGUGAGGUAACCCAAUCACAAACAAAACAAAACAAAACAAAACAAAACAAAAAACAAACAAACAAAAAAACCCCACACACACAUGGCAUGCACUCACUGCUAAGGGGAUAUUAGCCCAAAAGCUCGAAUUGCCCAAGACACAAUCCACAAACCUCAUGAAGCACAAGAAGAAGGAAGAGUGUGGAUGCUUCAUUCCUUCUUAAAGGGGGAAACAAAAAUAUUCAUAGGAGGUGAUAUGGAGACAAAGUUGGAGCAGAGACUGAAGGAGCAGUCAUCCAGAGCCUGCCUGCCCCACCUGGGGAUCCAGCCUGGAAAGACAGCAGCUAAGAGCUCUGGCUGCUUUUCCAGAGGACCCAGAUUUGAUUCUCAGCCCCUACAAGAUGGACAGCUGUCUGUCACUCCAGUUCCAUGUGAUCCAACACCCUCUGCUCGUCUCUAUGGACACCAGACAUGGUAUGCAGGCAUUCAUGAGGGCAAAACACCCAUACAUACCAAAUAAAAUGAUUUUAGAGACAGACAUCCAGUAGAAAAAGACAUGGCCAUCCUCCUCUGCAUAUACACCACAGGCAUGUGCCCCUACAUAUACAUGAACACAUACAAUACAUACACACAGUCAUCUUAAAAAUAGUAUUCAAGGGGUUGGGGAUCUAGCUCAGUGGUAGAGCGCUUGCCUAGGAAGCGCAAGGCCCUGGGUUCGGUCCCCAGCUCCGGAAAAAAGAACCAAAAAAAAAAAAUAGUAUUCAAAUAGAAAAAUACUGUAGAUGAUUCCAUACUAGAAAGAAGCAUUAUUUCAGAGCUGGGGUCUACCCAGCCCUGGUGACUUUCUUUCUUUUCUUUUCUUUUCUUUUUUUUUUUUUUUUUUUUUUUUUUUUUUGGAGCUGGGGACCGAACCCAGGGCCUCGCGCUUGCUAGGCAAGCGCUCUACCACUGAGCUAGAUCCCCGACCCCGCCCUGGUGACUUUCUAAGAAACCAAAAUGUGCCCAGCACAGAGCAGAUAGAGUGGAAAGUGCCACAUGUCCCUUCCUCUUUCCCUGCCCUGGUCUUGUGUGCAUUCUGGCUUCGAUGGCAGUUCAUAAGGAGAGAGGGACAAACAUUUGAAAUAAAUUCAUUCAACCUGUGACUUUACUGCAGUCCAGUGAGCUUCCGAGGGUCGGUUAUGAGUCCAGUACCACACACAUGCAGUGAGUUAUGGCAGAGACCAAUAAAAGACAUCCAAGUUCUACCUCUGGUUACUGCCGUUAUCCCUAAAUCUCCAGCAGUCACUUCUUCCUUUGAUCCCCAACUUCUUCCUUUCCCAAUGAACCAAUCUCAUCUUUAGACUGGUGAUUAUAUAAAUUAUGUGUUACAUAGCUCUAGAUCCUUGGUUCUCAACCUUCCUAAUGCUGCAACCCUUUAAAACAGUUCCCCAGCCAUAAAAUUAUUCAUUGCUACUUCAUAACUGUAAUUUUGCCAUUGGUAUGAAUCACGACGCAAAUAUCUGAUGCGUCCAAUGGAGACUCCACAAAAGAGUCAUUUGAUCAUGACCAACCCGUUUUGGUGGUACCCUUCACCUUAGAGUCUUAGUUCACCUUAUGAGAGAGACCCGUGUUCUGUAUUCCAAGGACUGGAGGUCGAGUUAUGCUUGGAGGCCAUAUGUAUGCUGGCUGUUGAAACCAGAACUUUCCAUAGUCAAGGUAAGUGCUAAACCACUUCAGCUGCGGCCCAGCUUUGAAAUCUCAUCUUGAACACUUGCUCGGAACUUAGAAAUAUCUACUUACUGACAAGGCUGCUUCGUCACCACCUCACCCAUCUUGAUGCCUGAAUACUGCCUGGAUCUGGACACUGACCCACCAUCCAACAUACCCAGUCUCCAUAAGCUGGACAAAGGCAGAUUUUUCUGGCGGUGGUUAUAUUCACUACCUUCUGUCCACUACACUGCAUCCUCUAUGUAGAGGUUCUCAACCUGUGGGUCGUGAGCCCUUUGGCUGUCACGUAUCAGAUAUCCUGCCUAUCAGAUAUUUACAUUAUGGUUCAGUACAGUAGCAGAAUUACACUUAUGAAGUAGUAACAACAUGGACCACCACAGCAUGAGGAACUGUAUCAAAGAGUCACAGGAUUAGCAAGGUCGAGGACCUACAGUUUAGGAUCUGGUCAUUCUGAACACAAGCAGGUCUUGCUUGAGUACCAAGUGCCUCUCAACUGGCUCCACGACUCACUGGGUUUAUGAUCCUGAAUGUCUCCUCACGGACAGACUACAGACCAGGCACGGGAGCCAGUUAGCUAAUGCUCACUAGAUGUUUAAGCCUCUUUCCCUGAAUCACAAAGAGUGCUAUAGCAUGAGAGGUGGGAGUGCAGGUGGAGCCUACAACGCAAACAUCUAACAUCUGAGUCAUCAGAGUCUUUUCUCUGCCUUGUCUUGCCUGCUGGUCUCACUCUCCUAGAUCCUGGGCAUGGACAGAAGGUUCUUGUAGACUUACUAUGCUUGACUGAGGGAGCAGGUCAGAAAGUCGCUUGAGUUCAGUGGACACAAACCUCUGGCCCGACAGGACACACUGUGGGAGCAAACAGAGCUCACCCAGGAAGCACGGUUAUUUUUAUUUAACACAAGCGACUGACACAGAAACCACGAUUCCGGUUUUAUUUAGAGGCGGGUAUUUUUUUUUUUUUUUGCAGACUUUGUAUCAAAAAAUGAGCCAGUGAUGCCAAGGGAAUGGCAUCAUCUCUUUUUUUGGCCAACGACCAACCUUGAGCUCCUGAAGCAAAACGGAAGGAUUUCACAAAACUCCUCCCCCUCGUUGCAUGAGGUCACAUCCUUCCAUACUCAAAGGCCCUGCUAGUGACGCGAGUGAGCGUGACUUUAAAAAUAUUACAUAAUAACACGUGUCAACAUCUCAAGGAUCAGCAUGGCUCGGCGAGAGCGGUGCUUUCCAAAGCGUGAGUGCAAACUAUGGGUCAGAAGGAUGCACAUCAAUGGUGAUCAGUGGGCCCUAGCCGUGCGUAUGCACAUGUAUGGAGAAAGCUCCAGAUUCCACAGUCUACCUCAUAGUAAGAAACCACUCUCUCUCCCAUCACUACCCUCCUAGUCUGAAGGUAGGUUUUUCUCUUACUAAAGGAACACAAAAAUGAACACCUCACUUGUAAAGUGUUAUUUAGUAACUCGUGGUAAACAUGAAAUGGUAGGGUUCUUUAGAGCCUAAUCCUAGGUAGCCUUAGAGCAAUGUAUCUUAGUUACUUUUGAACCUGUAUUCUCCUUGUCUUUUCAAGAUGUUUUAAGUUAUAUUUUCUUUUUCAGACCUGCUUUUAUUUGGGGGCGGCUUUUUUUUUAUUUUUCUUUUUUUCCGGAGCUGGGGACCGAACCCAGGGCCUUGCGCUUGCUAGGCAAGCGCUCUACCACUGAGCUAAAUCCCCAGCCCC